rnacentral:rRNA from 1 species
UACGUAGGGGGCAAGCGUUGUCCGGAUUUAUUGGGCGUAAAGAGCGUGUAGGCGGCUUUACAGGUCCGUUGUGAAAACUCGAGGCUCAACCUCGAGACGCCGGUGGAAACCGUAAGGCUAGAGUCCGGAAGAGGAGAGUGGAAUUCCUGGUGUAGCGGUGAAAUGCGCAGAUAUCAGGAGGAACACCCGUGGCGAAAGCGGCUCUCUGGGACGGUGCUGACGCUGAGACGCGAAAGCGUGGGGAGCAAACAGG